GACGAACGCUGGCGGCGUGCUUAACACAUGCAAGUCGAACGGAGUGGCGAACGGGUGAGUAACACGUGGGUGAUCUGCCUUGCACUUCGGGAUAAGCUUGGGAAACUGGGUCUAAUACCGGAUAGUGCAAGAUGAGCUCCCGGCCUAUCAGCUUGUUGGUGGGGUAAUGGCCUACCAAGGCGUCGACGGGUAGCCGGCCUGAGAGGGUGUACCGCCACCUGGGGCCUGAGAGAGGGCCCAGACGCGGACGGGAGGCAGCGGUGGGGAAUAUUGCACAAUGGGCGGGAGCCUGAUGAAGCGCCGCCGCGUGGGGAAGGAAGGCCUACGGGUUGUAAACUCCUUUCGACAGGGACGCGGUACCUGUAUAAGAAGCACCGGCUAACUACGUGCCAGCAGCCGCGGUAAUAC
rnacentral:rRNA from 1 species